UACGUAGGGUGCGAGCGUUAAUCGGAAUUACUGGGCGUAAAGCGUGCGCAGGCGGUGAUGUAAGACAGAUGUGAAAUCCCCGGGCUCAACCUGGGAACUGCAUUUGUGACUGCAUCGCUGGAGUGCGGCAGAGGGGGAUGGAAUUCCGCGUGUAGCAGUGAGAUGCGUAGAUAUGCGGAGGAACACCGAUGGCGAAGGCAAUCCCCUGGGCCUGCACUGACGCUCAUGCACGAAAGCGUGGGGAGCAAACAGG
rnacentral:rRNA from 1 species